ACUGCUCUUGGAAGCAUUGAAGGUGUGUUUGCUGUGUCAUAUGUGUCAGUAGGUGGCAAAGAAGAAAAAGGCUCUAUCUUUGCUCAGUGUUGUGACCUGUGAACAUCUGAAUAAUUAGUAGUCUAACAUU